GCAAUCCGCCCGCCUCGGCCUCCCAAGAGCUAGGAUUACAGGCGUGAGCCACAGCGCCUGGUGAUUCUUAACAUUUUUCAGCUAGUAUAUCACCAAAAAAAUUAAAGAAGAAACCAACAGUAAUGGGUAAAAUAUUUCAUGCAACUAUAGUCUUUUAUAUACAUUCAAAAUAAUGUGUGGAUAUUUAUGUAAAAUAUAGUCUUAUUGUAUGUUAGAAACAUUAUUUGUAAAUUUUUGGUGAAAUUAAUCAGUAAUUUUUUAUUUCCCAAAUAGCACCAUAACUUUCAGGUGUUUGCCACCUGAAUACAUUUCAGAACCAGUUUUCAUGGAUCGAGCACUGUAUCGCUAUGUAGCUGGAUUUAAUGCCAGUUAUUCCUGAAUCCUAAAAUGUUUGAAGUAGUAAAGUUGUUUCUAGAAAAAAACUAUCAAGUUAGAUAAUUUUUUUCUCAUAAAAGCUAAUUUUAUACUUUUUAAAAUGACAUAAUGCUUAAAAGAUCAGAUUUUAGAGUCAGAAAUGUGGGGGUUAAAUAUGUUUCACAUAUAUAGAUGACUUCAGGCAAAUUGCUAAACACUUCUAAGUUUUAUCUCCUUAUAUUUAAAAGAGAAAUAAUUAUACUGUUCCUAGCUCAUAGGGCUAUUGCAAGGAUGAAAUGAUAUAAUGCAUGCCACUCACUCAUUACAGUGCUUGGCACAUGUAAGCACAUAAUUGGUGUUAGUUGAUACUACUUUAUAAUUCAGGUCAAAGUGUAAAGAAGUAAAGAAUUCAGUGUUGAUUCAUUAAUUUCUAAUGAGUUUACUCCAAGUAAUAUUAAGAAUCUAAAAUCAGGUGAUGGGGUGACUGUAUAUUGGGAGAGAAGGGGGAAGAGGUCAGAAAGUAUUAAGGUUUAAUAAGUAUUAAGUAUUAAUAAGUAUUAAGAGGUAUUAAGGUUGGGCAGGUAUUAAGCCAGGUAUUAAGCUUGGGCAAAGGAUCAGUGCUGGUGCUAGGCAGGUUACAUAGGCAAUGUAUAGAAUGUGUAAGCAGCACAGGGAUUAAUGUAUCCAGUUUGGACUCUGUUGAAUUUAGGGUACUUGAAAUUUUAGUAUGCCAGCAUUUUUUUAAUUACUAAAAUAAUGUAAAAUUUGAGUAGGUCCUUGUUUGCUUGCACAUGUUAACUGCUUGCUUCCUGCCCAACAGCCCUUGUUGCCACAGUAAAUGUUAACUGCUGAUAUACUGUUUCUUUCUCAAGUAGGAGGGGAAGAUAACUCCAGGGUUAUGAGGGAAAUCUAUGAGUUUGUUUUGCAGAAGGAAUGAAUGCCCUUGAGAAAGUUGCAACUAGCUGCUGACGCUCAGAAGUCCGGUUACUCAAGGAGGAUGUUCAUGUUAUGAGCAGUUUUGUUGCCAACCAGUACCACAGCUGCAGAACUAUUCAAGUCUUUGAAUGAUUACAUAUCAGGAAAACUGAAUUGGUCAUUCCGUGUUGGUAUGUGCAUGGACAGAAUGGCUGCCAUGACUAGACGGCUUUCUGGUUUCACUAGUCAGGGGAGAACAACAACUGUGUCCAAGUCAGCAGAUAAAGUGGCUGCAUUCAAAACCAAACUGGAAUUAUGGGGGUGACGAGUGAACCUUGGGAUUUU